UUCACUGUCUUAAUUUGUUCACUCUUUUGGUUCGUUCAAUUUUAAAAAUGAAGGGAAAUAUACUAGUGGAAAGAAAAACAAUGAGCACUUUGAAAUGAAUCUUACGCCAAGGAAGGACGGGAAACCUCCAUCUCUGUGUAGGGACAGUAAUAACAUAUGAAGCAACCAAGGUGGAUGCAGCGAGAGAACGAGGAGAACAAUAAAGAACUGAUGUCUCCUCCUUUUCGUAGAGAAGAUCCAUGAUAUCCAUGCACGCCUCAAAAUCGAUAAGUUCCCCAACUUUGGCCACUCCCCUGAAUUGAGCUAGGAGCUCUUCAAGGAAAACAAAAGCAAUAUUUCCAGCACCAAUCUCAUAAUUCAAUACCUUAAAAUUCCAAUAUCUUAACCAUCCGAGUGGAAUUAAAGUUGUGCAACGAACACCAAAAAUUCUAUGAGAUUUACCUGCAAAAAGACCAUCUCUGCUUCCAAGAAAUCUCGAGCUGUAAAAUGUUGUUCUUUGAUGCUUUUAUCUCCCAAGGUCUUCAAACUCUUGACAGACAAUGGACAAGAAUCAUGUAUUUUGCUGGAAAUCCAUGUAGAAACAAGUGCAAAUAGCUGCAAAUUGCUUUGUGUUAUGGGUUGCAAAAGCCAGUUUCCCUUGUUGUGUUGUCCCCCAAACCUGGAGAGAGAAGGAUAGAAUCGAUCAGCGAAGAGAAACAAUGCAGUGUAUUUGACGAUAGGAGCAACUUCAAGUCGCUAUAAAUUUUUUGAGCCAUAAAAAAAAAUAACUAAACUACAUUAUGGAGUGAACAAAAAUUCCAAAUAUAUUGGAGUGUUUGUGUGUGUGUGUUCAUACUGCCAUGAGCUGAUUCGAUGAGGAACUCCACAGCUUGAACUCGGAGAUUGAAGGAGCUGUCGCAAUUCCUCCACAUCGCUGUUUCUCUCUAAAAACUCAAAUAAACGGGAAACGCGCAGAUUUUGGUGUGGAUUUUUGCGGAAGC
rnacentral:misc_RNA from 1 species